rnacentral:rRNA from 1 species
GACGAACGCUGGCGGCGUGCUUAACACAUGCAAGUCGAACGGAAAGGCCCUGCUUUUGUGGGGUGCUCGAGUGGCGAACGUGUGUGUAACACGUGAGUAACCUGCCCUUGACUUUGGUAUAACUUCAGGAAACUGUGUCUAAUACCGGAUAGGAGCUCCUGCUGCAUGUUGUGGGUUGGAUUGUUUCGGCGGUUGGGGAUGGACUCGCGGCUUAUCUGCUUGUUGGUGGGUUAGUGGCUUACCAAGGCUUUGACGGGUAGCCGGCCUGAGAGGGUGACCGGCAAAAUUGGGACGGAGAUAGGGCCAGGACUCCUACGGGAGGAAGAAGGGGGGAAUAUUGCAAAAGGGGCGGAAGCCGGAGGAAGGAAGGCGGGGUGCGGGAGGACGGCCUUCGGGUUGUAAACCGCUUUCGCAGGUGACGAAGCGUGAGUGACGGUAAUGGGUAAAGAAGCACCGGCUAACUACGUG